CGUAAGUGUUAGCUAUAUGAGUUUUCGCGUCCAACUUUGAUCGUCCGUUUUAUGUAAAAAAUUUUUAUAAUUAGCAUUUUUGUUGUUAUAAGAUGAUAAAACAUGGAUAGUACUUUACUCGUGACUUAUGUCUUUAAUUUUUUUUUAAAAAAAAUUUAAAUAAGACGAAUGGUCAAAGUUAAGCGCUGAAAACCAUGGCUGCACUUAUU
rfam:Oryza nivara chromosome 4, whole genome shotgun sequence.